GCAAAAAAAAAAAUCAGUAAUGGUGCUACUUUACUGGUUUCGUUUUACCUUUUCCGUAGCAUUGCAAAAUGCAAUAACCGAAGGCAAUCCACACAAAAACCCAGCCAGGCUCCCUAGGAAAGAUGGGAAGGGAUCCUAUGGAACUCAGUGGGAUUUACUUCUGUGUAAAAGAUGUAAGUUCGCAAGACAGCUGGUUGGAAGGAGCCGGUGGUGCUGACCAUGGAGGACGUUGAGGAGCCCUUGCUAGUGCAAAUGCCAAGGGGAGAGCCUAGUCUCAGAAAUAUGAAGCAGCAUCCCAUGUCGAAGG